rnacentral:rRNA from 1 species
UACAGAGGCCUCGAGCGUUAGGCGGAAUCACUGGGCUUAAAGCGUGUGUAGGUGGAUGCCUAAGUACCUUGUGAAAUCCCACGGCUCAACCGUGGAAUUGCUGGGCAUACUGGGUGUCUUGAGCCAUCCAGGGGUCGCUGGAACAAACGGUGGAGCGGUGAAAUGCGUAGAUAUCGUUUGGAACGCCAAUGGUGAAAACAGGCGACUGGGGAUGAGCUGACACUGAGACACGAAAGCCAGGGGAGCAAACGGG